AUCUCGUUAGAUCACCGAAGUCAAGCAUCAUUGGGCGCGGUGAGUACUUGGGUGGGUGACCACCUGGGAACACCGCGUGCCGUU